CUAUCUUUUCAACACUCUCUUUUCCGGCCAUCGUAGAUCGUUUUAGGGAGUGGUCUUGGAUCUCAUUUUGCAAUUAGGCCAAUACCAGAUCAAGAGUGGUAGACCGGUGUGGAUCUUGAAAGACUAUCUGUAGAUGUUGCUUGUCCUGUUAUAAAAU